GCCCUUUGUGUCAGUUGGUAGAGCAUGAGACUUAAUCUCAAAGUCAUGGGUUUGAGCCCCACAUUGGGUG